rnacentral:pre_miRNA from 1 species
UGGACAGAUUAUUGUAUUCGACUGUAUUCACGGCGUGAAACAGGGGAUUACACUGUUUUCAAACGGAAAGUGAAUCAAUUAACAUAAUAGACUCCU